GUUCCAUCUAUGAAACCAAGCCAGAGCCAUGGGCUCAACCAGACCCAGACUCGGACAAAGAUCCUGUUGACCUCACUCUCGGCCAUGGUGGCGGAGACCGCGACCUUCCCAAUAGACCUGGCAAAGACUCGACUUCAGCUCCACGGUGAGUCUCUUUCCUCCACUCACCCCACCAACGCUUUCCGAGUCGCCGCGGAGAUCCUUCGCCAACGAGGCCUUCUCGGUCUCUACCAAGGCCUUUCUCCUGCUAUCCUCCGACACCUCUUCUACACCCCUAUUCGAAUUGUGGGUUAUGAAAAUUUGAGAAAUUUUGUUGUCAAUGACGGUGGAAAUGGUUCCAUUUCUCUCCCUAGUAAAGCUUUCCUUGGUGGAGUCUCCGCGGCGACUCG
rnacentral:misc_RNA from 1 species